GAUGAACGCUGGCGGCGUGCCUAAUACAUGCAAGUCGAGCGAACAGAUGAGGAGCUUGCUCCUCUGACGUUAGCGGCGGACGGGUGAGUAACACGUGGAUAACCUACCUAUAAGACUGGGAUAACUUCGGGAAACCGUAGCUAAUACCGGAUAAUAUAUUGAACCGCAUGGUUCAAUAGUGAAAGACGGUUUUGCUGUCACUUAUAGAUGGAUCCGCGCCGCAUUAGCUAGUUGGUAAGGUAACGGCUUACCAAGGCAACGAUGCGUAGCCGACCUGAGAGGGUGAUCGGCCACACUGGAACUGAGACACGGUCCAGACUCCUACGGGAGGCAGCAGUAGGGAAUCUUCCGCAAAGGGCGAAAGCUUGACGGAGCAACGCCGCGUGAGUGAUGAAGGUCUUCGGAUCGUAAAACUCUGUUAUUAGGGAAGAACAAAUGUGUAAGUAACUAUGCACGUCUUGACGGUACCUAAUCAGAAAGCCACGGCUAACUACGUG
rnacentral:rRNA from 1 species